rnacentral:rRNA from 1 species
UGCGUAGGUGGUAUGGCAAGUCAGAAGUGAAAACCCAGGGCUUAACUCUGGGACUGCUUUUGAAACUGUCAGACUGGAGUGCAGGAGAGGCAAGCGGAAUUCCUAGUGUAGCGGUGAAAUGCGUAGAUAUUAGGAGGAACAUCAGUGGCGAAGGCGGCUUACUGGACUGAAACUGACACUGAGGCACGAAAGCUGGGGAGCAAACA